AUGCUUGUUUUGGCAGCGUAUUCACUAAAAUUGGAAUGAUAGAGAGAAUAUCAUGACCUCUAUGCAAGGAGGACAUUGCGUUCUGUUUAAAAUAAUACCUUUUU
ensembl:snRNA U6 U6 spliceosomal RNA